rnacentral:tRNA from 1 species
AAGGAUUUAAGUUAAACCAAACUAACAGCCUUCAAAGCUGUAAAUAAAGAGUGGGCCCUUUAAGCCUUA